UGAACGCAGCAUUUGAUAGAAAUAUUUUAAACGCGCCCUGACACCACACGUUAUUAUAGUAACGAUUUUACGCGUAGACGCGUUGCAGCCUGUUUGCAGCCAAUGGACCGAUAAACUAUUCCUUCUGUUAAGUGAUCAGUGAUUUGCUUUAUCUGCCCAUGACCACACAGUUAGAUCAGCUGGCCCGGCCCAAACCCAACCUGCUUAAAUUCUCAGACAGGCGCUCAUUAUAUUGGCUUGAUGAACUACCAACUGAAACAAAAAAAACUUCACUACUGGGUUUGAACUGACUCUUCGCUUAGAGCAGCUCGCCCAGAGUAAACAACCAAGCCAUUUUUUGGAGGAGAGCAGGUGAGUA